AUCUAAAUAAAUGGAGAGUCCGCAAUUAUGAAUAGGAAUACCCAAUAAUGUUGACAUGUCUGUUUUUUUCAAACGUGUUCUAUAGAUUCAGUGCAAUCCCAGUUAAAAUCCCCGCAAUCUGACUGUAAAGUUCAUCUGGAGAAGGCCAACAGGAUGCUGAGUGACAGACCAGACAACGGACACUGCCCAACUUCAAGAUGAAGGGGUGGGGCAGUGAACUGAAAGCACAGAGAGGGUGACCAAUUCACCGAGGUUCACACAGCCAGAUGGGAACAUGGGUGGGAGCUGGUGGACCCCUGGGAGAACGCUCAGUGUGGGAGAAGAAUCUUCUCCCUGGCAUCCACCCAGCAUUCUUCCCCGAGGCCGAGAACCCACAGACCGUCCAUCCGCCUUGGUUGGGUGGGGACAGACACCGUCCCUGUGCACGGGACCAGCGACAACUUCUCUCCUGUGACUGUUCCUUUCACUAACAAGACGGACGAUGCUCCGCGCACUCAGUAGGUCUGCGGUGCCUGAGAGGGAGGAACUGAAGCCGCCCUGGGUCCGUCUGCCCCCUGUCUCUGCCCCUUCCUCUCCCAUCCUGGACGGUGGGGACCGCCUGGCGGGGAGGGUCCACCCUGUACAUUGCGGUCGGGGCUCCCGCGGGCCCCCGAUGGAGGCAAAGCCAACAGGGACCCCCGUGGCGCCGGCAAGGCCGUCCCUGCCUCCCGCCCCGCCGUCUGCCUGUCAGGGGACUUUGCUAGGGAAGCAGCUGCCCAGGCCCCGUCCCCUCCCGGCCCUCCGGUGGCGCGUGGCGGGGAGCCAGGAGCGGGCCGCUCAGGUGGGCCUGUCCAUCUGCUUUGGAGACCCUGCAACAGUCCUGGCACCACGUCAUCUCGUCCCUUCUCGACUGAAGCCACGAGCCGUCUCUUCGGGUCCUCCACCGUCCCCUCGCGGUGCCCUGGCUCUUGGGCCACGCUAAGGCCUGCAGAGCCCGGGAGCAGGAGGACAGGGCAGGGCAGCAGAUCCUGGUCCCCCGGGGAUGAGAGCCAGGGGCUCCCAGACGUCCCCUGCCCCCCAGCGUGUGGCUGAAGCCGCUGGAGAGGGGCAGGUCGGCGGCACCCCCUCCCCGACCCCUGGCCUGUUCUUCCUUAUCAUCUCAUUUAACUCCCUGGCCUCAGCGCCAGGCAGGUUUCAUUCUGUUGAGGAAACUGAGGUCAGGAGGGGCGUGGCCUACUGGGGGACCCGAGUGCCAGGGUCCUGCCUGGGGUCCUGAGUGCCAGGGUCCUG